rnacentral:rRNA from 1 species
AACGAACGCUGGCGGCAGGCCUAACACAUGCAAGUCGAGCGCCUCGACAGAGGAGCGGCAGACGGGUGAGUAACGCGUGGGGGAGUACCCUUAUCUUCGGCAUAGCCCUGGGAAACUGGAAGUAAUACCGAAUGAGACUUAAGGUGGUAAGACUUAUCGGAUAAGGAUCGGGCCGCGGUGGCUUAGCAAGUUGGUGGGGUGAAGGCCCACCAAGGCGACGAUCCAUAGCUGGGCUGAGAGGAUGAUCAGCCACAUUGGGACUGAGACACCACCCAAGCUCCUACGGGAAGGAGCGGAAGGCAAUAUUAGACAAUGGGCGCAAGCCUAGUCCGGCCAUGCCGCGUAAGGGAUGAAGGCCUUAGGAUAGUAGCACUCUUUUACCAGAGAAGUGAAUGGCGGUAACCGAAAGAGUAGGCACGGCUAACUUCGUG